CGCGCAGAGACGCGCGCAGAGACGCGCGCAGAGACGCGCGCAGAGACGCGCGCAGAGAGACACGCAGAGAGACACGCAGAGAGACACGCAGAGAGACACGCAGAGAGACACGCAGAGAGACACAGAGAGAGACACAGAGAGAGACACAGAGAGAGACACAGAGAGAGAGAAAGAGACAUCCUUUACAGAAAACAAAGAAACAGAUAUAGAAAAUGACUCUACCAAAGGCACCCAAGCUGAUUUCUCCAGGAACUCUUUCAAGUGAGAAAUAUUUUUUCCCUCAUCUGGGUCCCUGCCACACUGUGUAACAUCUCCAUGAUGAUGCUUACUGAACUGUACUGUAAUGAACUUUAUUAUUUUCUCCUUCCCGUUAGACUAGUAGUUGACAAACUACAGCCUUUGGACCAAACUUGAUUUUUAAAGAAAAAUUGGAACACAGCC
rnacentral:lncRNA from 1 species